rnacentral:lncRNA from 1 species
UUAAAAAUCAAAAAUCACUUCAUGUUUCUAGCCCAGAUGGCCUGGGAGGGUAUAACUCCUGUGGAACAGCAAAGGAUCCCAGACCAAACUGAUGAACUACUCAAGAACCUUCAACUCUUCAUAAAGGAUGCUCUGGUAUUCUAGGUCUCAUCCAUACGCAUACCUGAAGCAAUGGGGUUCUGCUUCCUGAAUGCCUUUCUCAUAAUGCCUUCCUUUACUGACUCAAAUGAUACCUAUCUUUCCUAACAAAGAGCAAGGCAGUUCAGCAGCAUGGUAUCCAUUUACUGAUUCAUUCAUCCUGCAACAAGCAUUAAACACCUUCUCUAUGCCAAUGACUAAGAACACAAUUGUAAUCAAGAUCCUAAGAAGUUUAUCAAAUGAAGGACAGUAAGAAACCUUUACACAUAAUUUUAGAGCUAUGGAAAAAUGUCAGCUUUGAAAGCCCACAAGGAGGAAUUCUCCUAAUUCUACUUUGGGGAUCAUAACUGGGUAAAAUAAACUCUUUCCAGGAAGACA